AGUAACACGUGAGUAAUCUGCCCUCGACACUGGGAUAGCCCGGGGAAACCCGGAUUAAUACCGGAUAGCCUUUCGAGCUCUCGGGCUCGUCAGAAAAGGAUGGCUUCGGCUUUCGGUUGAGGAUGAGCUUGCGGCGGAUUAGCUUGUUGGUGAGGUAACGGCUCACCAAGGCGACAAUCCGUAGCUGGUCUGAGAGGACGAUCAGCCACACUGGGACUGAGACACGGCCCAGACUCCUACGGGAGGCAGCAGUGGGGAAUCUUGCGCAAUGAGCGAAAGCUUGACGCAGCGACGCCGCGUGAGGGAAGAAGGCCUUCGGGUUGUAAACCUCUUUCAGGAGGGACGAAGCCGCUCGGGCUAAUACCCCAGAGGGUGACGGUACCUCCAGAAGAAGCCCCGGCUAACUACGUGCCAGCAGCCGCGGUAAUACGUAGGGGGCAAGCGUUGUCCGGAAUUAUUGGGCGUAAAGAGCGUGUAGGCGGCCAGGUAGGUCUGCUGUGAAAACUCGAGGCUCAACCUCGAGCUGUCGGUGGAAACCAUCUGGCUAGAGUCCGGAAGAGGAGAAUGGAAUUCCUGGUGUAGCGGUGAAAUGCGCAGAUAUCAGGAAGAACACCUAUGG
rnacentral:rRNA from 1 species